CGGACGGGUGAGUAACACGUGGAUAACCCACCUAUAAGACUGGGAUAACUUCGGGAAACCGGAGCUAAUACCGGAUAAUAUUUUGAACCGCAUGGUUCAAAAGUGAAAGACGGUCUUGCUGUCACUUAUAGAUGGAUCCGCGCUGCAUUAGCUAGUUGGUAAGGUAACGGCUUACCAAGGCAACGAUGCAUAGCCGACCUGAGAGGGUGAUCGGCCACACUGGAACUGAGACACGGUCCAG
rnacentral:rRNA from 1 species